AACGAACGCUGGCGGCAGGCCUAACACAUGCAAGUCGAGCGAAGUCUUCGGACUUAGCGGCGGACGGGUGAGUAACGCGUGGGAACGUGCCCUUUGGUUCGGAAUAGCCCCGGGAAACUGGGAGUAAUACCGGAUAAGCUCUACGGAGGAAAGAUUUAUCGCCAAAGGAUCGGCCCGCGUUGGAUUAGGUAGUUGGUGGGGUAAUGGCCUACCAAGCCGACGAUCCAUAGCUGGUUUGAGAGGAUGAUCAGCCACACUGGGACUGAGACACGGCCCAGACUCCUACGGGAGGCAGCAGUGGGGAAUCUUAGACAAUGGGGGAAACCCUGAUCUAGCCAUGCCGCGUGAUCGAUGAAGGCCUUAGGGUUGUAAAGAUCUUUCAGUGGGGAAGAUAAUGACUGUACCCACAGAAGAAGCCCCGGCUAACUCCGUGCCAGCCGCCGCAGUAAGAC
rnacentral:rRNA from 1 species